rnacentral:rRNA from 1 species
AUUGAACGCUGGCGGCAUGCUUUACACAUGCAAGUCGAACGGUAACAGGCCGCAAGGUGCUGACGAGUGGCGAACGGGUGAGUAAUACAUCGGAACGUGCCCAGUCGUGGGGGAUAACGUAGCGAAAGCUACGCUAAUACCGCAUACGAUCUAAGGAUGAAAGCGGGGGAUCGCAAGACCUCGCGCGAUUGGAGCGGCCGCUGGCAGAUUAGGUAGUUGGUAGGGUAAAGGGCUACCAAGCCGACGAUCUGUAGCUGGUCUGAGAGGAUGAUCAGCCACACUGGGACUGAGACACGGCCCAGACUCCGACGGGAGGCAGCAGUGGGGAAUAUUGGACAAUGGGGGGAACCCUGAUCCAGCCAUGCCGCGUGUGUGAAGAAGGCCUUAUGGUUGUAAAGCACUUUAAGCGAGGAGGAGGCUACUGAGACUAAUAAUCUUGGAUAGUGGACGUUACUCGCAGAAUAAGCACCGGCUAACUCUGUGCCAGCAGCCGCGGUAACAC